UACGUAGGGGGCUAGCGUUGUCCGGAAUCAUUGGGCGUAAAGCGCGUGUAGGCGGUCCGGUAAGUCCGCUGUGAAAGUCGAGGGCUCAACCCUCGAAUGCCGGUGGAUACUGUCGGGCUUGAGUACGGGAGAGGCGAGUGGAAUUCCUGGUGUAGCGGUGAAAUGCGCAGAUAUCAGGAGGAACACCGAUUGCGAAGGCAGCUCGCUGGAACGUUACUGACGCUGAGACGCGAAAGCGUGGGAGCAACAGG
rnacentral:rRNA from 1 species